GGAACAUCAGACAGCUCAUUACAGAGACAAGUAAGCUCCAGUUCCAAAGUUGGUUGACAGAACAAGUCAUGACCUUGUGUGGAGGAAAAUGAGAUCCCGAGUGAAGUCUACAAUGUCAUUGACUCUGAAGAAGGACUGAGACCCAUUGGUGUUUAAUGACCCUUACUGGCCUAUGCAAUGGAAACUGAUACCAGGAUCACUGCACAUUUUAACCUAUAAAGAAGCCCUAUAAUCUGUUGGGG